rnacentral:lncRNA from 1 species
GGGGGUCUAUCGGAAACAGCCUUGCUACUUCUCCGGAGGUAGUGGUAUGGACUGUGUACAUCUUACCCUCCCCAAACCUCACUAUGUGGGAAUACACUGGGUUUGUUGUUGUUGUAGUCUACUUGGCACUUGGAGACUCCGAAUCCUGGAUCCGCCUCUGCAAUAGACCCUUGUGGUCUGGCCAUUCUCGAACCUCGUGCAUAGCUAGCGAGAGCUUUGGUGUAUCGGGCUGCCGUUUUUAGUUACUAAUAUCUUGCAAACUUACUGCAGGAUGAUUUGCUUCAACACAGGUUGCAUGGAAGAGACCAUAUGAUGCAGUUUGUGAAAAUGAAAAACAAGUUCAGUGUUGAAUUUGUGAAUGAUUUGCAAUUUGUAUUGUGUGAAUAUGUUAAUGUAAAAUGUAAUGUGUGGGAUUAUAAGUACAUCAAAUUUUAAAAAAAUUCAACAUUUUGCAAUAAGCACAGUCAAGGUUCUUGAAAUUUACUCAAUGCUACUGUUAAAGUUUGUGACCCGAAUUUUGUUGAUUCGCGCUGAAAAGUUCGUGGUGCGACCCACAUUUGUGAUUUUUUAUGGGGUCUGCGGUGGUAGCGGAGGGAUCGCACGUAAAUCUCUGUGUGUUCUUGUUUUUUUUUUCGCGUAUCAUAUUGCUUAUUGUUGUCCGUUCAUAAAAGCUUCUCUUCUGAUGUUACUUUUCCUUUUAUUAUCAAGCUUAUGAGUUUCUUAUCAUAUUUGUUACGUUUCAAGCACAUGGUACGUAUUGUUCGCUUUAUGUUAAGUUUAAAUAUAGUAGUAAGUAGUAACUUAAAAAAUAAAGGAAAAAUAAUCUGUUUUCAUUCUGAAUUAUACACGAAAUUGCUGACACAUACUCGAACUUUAGGAGGGUCCUAUUAUUUCCUGGAUUAAUUAAAAUCGUAUUUUUGGCAACCUUAGUGCUUACGUGGCAUAUCAGUGAAUCAACACAUUUAUGAUCCACGUAUGUGUUACGUAUCUGCCACAUAGGUACUAAGGUUGUCAAAAAUACGGUUUUAAUUAGUCCAUGGGUAAUAGGACCCUCCUAAAAUUCGGGUGUGCUUUAGUAAUUUCGUAUAUAGUUUAGGGUGGAAACAGUGCAUUUUCUCAAAAAUAAAACAAUAAUCUGACCCGUUAAAGGAUGAUAAUUUGUUUUUACAACAACAAACCCAGUGUAUUCCCACAAAGUGGGGUCUGGGGAGGGUAAAAUGUACGCAGUCCAUACCGAUACCUCC